UAGGAGGAGAUCAUCCACCAGUUCAACAGCUGGAAGCAAACUGUGCUUGAAGGAUCAGAAGAUGCUGAGGGUUCCAGUUGGACUGCCUGCCUUUCCUCUUGUGUACUGGUGACAGCUCAUCCAGAGCUUCCUCAAAACUGCUUCCAUCAGCAUCCGACUUCUCUGACACAGUAGAUGGAGUCGAAGACUUGGGUGUCAAACGCCCCGUGAGAUUUUUCACCAUAUCAGAAAUAUCCAUUAGGGCGCUCUCUCUUAGAGGAGAAGAAACAGAGUCAGCCACACUGGAAACAAGAGUGAUCAGUGAUUUAUUUGUGAAAUUCCUGGAGUGGGGAGCCAUACAGAGGUCUCAAAGAUGUGGACCAAGGAUGGAAAUAAGGAGAAGACCAUGUGACCAACCAGCCAUUCACAGACCAACAGAAUGUAUCGACAAAGGAAGCACACAGCACCAAAAGCCUCAGAAAAACAGAUAAACCUCUGCAAAUUGACUGGAAAAUCCUACCCGUUUUACAGAACACAUCACUGCCCUGAAAAUCUACAGGCCACACAGCUGCAAACAGGAGCACCAAGGUCCACUAAACUAUCAUAAUAACAGAAACACCUGUGCUAAUUACUUCCCUGACACAAGUUAAGUGCACAGUAAUCAGGCGACAAAGUGUUAACAUUCACUGAAUUGCCAUGUAAUUGCCAUUGCAUCCAAUGGAGUUACCACAUACGGUAAGUAUGUCAUUGUUACUGUUACUAUGCAGUAACUAUCAAAUCACUGUGUGUCAUCACCGUAAAAUUAGGUUGAUCCACUAUGCAAACUCACAAUGUGCAAUAACUCGCAAAAUACCUUGCUCAGUUCAACCUCGUGCUGGGUUGGUCAAGUCCUUUGUGUACCGAGAUAUACUAAAGCUAAAGGGCUAGGUACUUUAGCUUAGAACCUCUCAAGGAACCAGAUUCUGCCACCUUUCCUCACAGUGAGUAGCACCUUACUCCAGGAAUAGUUCCAUUGCAAUCAGGAUACUACCUGAGAUGAGCAAAGGUAGUGGAACCUGUCCCAAGCGGUCCAUUUUCAUCUUAUAUUGCCUCUACAGCCUACAUGAACAUAUCAUCCCCUCCACAUCUGUAGUAAUUAUUAUUUUAAAAUAAGAAAGAGUAGAAAACCCUAUCCCAAGCUGAGUUCUUAUACCUUGGAAAGGGAGGAGAGCCAGAGUCCACUAGGGACCACAACAUUGCCAAUCUAUGUUAGUAGGAAUACUACAGUGCAGGGAGGGGUGAUUAGAUACCUAGAUAUUUGGAUUCAUAUUUCUUUCUGCAUUUACAUCUAAAAAAAACCCAAAAUAAAUUAUACUGAUAUAAAUUUAGGAGCAUACAUAAAUCAUUGAAGCAACUCAAGCGAAAGAGUAAAGCUGCAAGUGUAGUUCUCAACCUGGGAACCUCCUACACACUACACCAAACUCAUUAGCAACUGCUAACAAGCCACCUAGUGUAAGCUCCGUGAUAAGUGAAAACAUGAUGGUGAGGAUGUGUGAUGACUGUUUUCAUACCCUCGAUACAUUCAUCACAAGGUACUUUGUGCAUAUCUUUUUACAUUAACACUUGAAAGUUGCUCAAAUGCUAUUGGAACGGGAGCCCUAUAAGUACCUACAUAGGUUGAGAGCACCAGGUUGUUUACCAUUAGUUUUAGCAACAUUUAAACAUGUGCACAACCAAACUUACAAUAAAAACAGA